AGAAAGAUCCUGACUAGGAUCAAGCAACUGGAACCAACUCUUAGACUGUAAGACAGCGACGUCUUUGGGAGUAGCAAGGGUGAGUUGCAUUGGGGUUUCUUGGGUAUGUUCAAAAGUAUUUUCAAAGUCAGUAAAAGUACCACGAUACAAGAACCGACUAAUAACUUCAAUAACUUCCUUUCCAUCACGGUAAACAGUACCCUUGACAGUGACGGUUUUACCGGAAUCGUUGUUCAAAAUAGCAAUGAUAGAAGCAGACGUGGUUACCUUGUCUCCCUCCAUUAAUGAAUGGCUACCAACCAUACGGAAAGAGUUAGACAGAUGAACCAAUCUAAGCAAAUCGCCGUCAAUAGCCUUCGGGAAAAUAGCCUUGGUAAUUGCUUGCCAUCCAACAACAAUUGCAAAAUCCAUAGGGGCCAUACGCUUUCUAAUUGCUCUCUUAGUGUAGGCCUCAUUAUGAUUUCCAACUGUACGGCAAAAAUCUUCAAUCAUGUUUCCAGUGACGGUCACUUCAGGGCCAGUGAAAGUAUCGGUAAUUGAAGCAUUCUCAGGAUAAGGCUCCUCUCCGAACCAUAAAGCCCAGUAGAAAUGCUUGAUACGAUCAUUUCUG